rfam:Musa acuminata subsp. malaccensis Doubled-haploid Pahang (DH-Pahang) genomic chromosome, chr5
GAGCCUGAUGAUACGGGUAUGUCGCCCCAGUCUUACGGUCCGUUCGUUCUUUCGAAUGGGCGAUGGUGAACGACAAUUCUAUCUGAUUC